rnacentral:rRNA from 1 species
AGUGAACGCUGGCGGCAGGCCUAAUACAUGCAAGUCGAACGGCAGCACAGCAGAGCUUGCUCUGUGGGUGGCGAGUGGCGGACGGGUGAGGAAUACAUGGGAAUCUGCCCAGUCGUGGGGGAUAACGUAUGGAAACGUACGCUAAUACCGCAUGCGCCCUAAGGGGGAAAGCCGGGGACCGCAAGGCCUGGCGCGAUUGGAUGAGCCCAUGUUCGAUUAGCUAGUUGGCGGGGUAAAGGCCCACCAAGGCGACGAUCGAUAGCUGGUCUGAGAGGAUGAUCAGCCACACUGGAACUGAGACACGGUCCAGACUCCUACGGGAGGCAGCAGUAGGGAAUAUUGGACAAUGGGGGCAACCCUGAUCCAGCCAUGCCGCGUGAGUGAAGAAGGCCCUCGGGUUGUAAAGCUCUUUUGUCCGGAAGAAAAGCAAUCGGUUAAUACCCGGUUGUCCUGACGGUACCGGAAGAAUAAGCACCGGCUAACUUCGUGCC